rnacentral:rRNA from 1 species
AUUGAACGCUGGCGGCAGGCCUAACACAUGCAAGUCGAGCGAGCGGCGGACGGGUGAGUAAUGUCUGGGAAACUGCCUGAUGGAGGGGGCUGACUACUGUAAACGGUAGCUAAUACCGCAUACCAUCGGAUGUGCCCAGAUGGGAUUAGCGAGUAGGUGGGGUAAAGGCUCACCUAGGCGACGAUCCCUAGCUGGUCUGAGAGGCUGACCCGCCACACUGGAACUGAGACACGGUCCAGACUCCUACGGGAGGCAGCAGUGGGGAAUAUUGCACAAUGGGCGCAAGCCUGAUGCAGCCAUGCCGCGUGUAUGAAGAAGGCCUUCGGGUUGUAAAGUACUUUCAGCGGGGAGGCGUUACCCGAAGAAGAAGCACCGGCUAACUCCGUGCCAGCAGCCGCGGUAAUAC